ACUGGGCACUGCAGCCAGCAACCUCUACAUUUCUGUGCUUAACUGCACAGUGCAGACAGAUGUUGCUUUCAGCUUUACCCUGCAAUAAUGCCACUACCGGAACUACACAAUAUAUUUGUUUGGGUUACGCUGGCACAGGAAGAGGAUUUCAAACUCACUUGCAGUUAUUAGUGAUCUCAUCUGCAUGACAUUAUCUGUACUACAGGAUUCCCUUGGGUUACCCCAUCUGGUAAGCAUCUGGCGUUGUCCUGUAAGCCAUCAUUUCCACUAUUGCAGCCAUCAACCAAGAGGUCAGAUUUUGAGCCUCUCUUCAAAUGAAUGUAGAUUUGUUCCUGUCAUCACCAAGGCAACUAACAAUUCCAAUGAACAACUCAGCAACAACAAAGAAAAUUUAUUGAAGCAAUUGUAUUUGUGAAAAGUUAUGUUUCUAUCUUCAUAAAUAUGUCAAAAAAUAUUCAUUUAAACUAUAGGCGUAUAAAGGACCUCGGAAACCUAUUACAACCCACUUAGCUAGCUCCAGUUGUGAGGAAGUAUCACAUCCUACUAAACAUAUUAUACCUAUCUGUCAAUCUUCUUCAGACAAUUUGCUGAUAGAAUCAAUUACACGUCUUUCCUUCACAGAUCCUUCAGAACAUUUGCUAACUUCAAUUUAAAGCAGUUACAUCUAAACCAUCUUUUCACUCUCGGUCUUUCAGACUUGAAAUUAGCCCAUCCUGCUGUAGAUUAUUCAUCAAAAAAAAAUGACAGUUACUUGUUCAAGUCCAUGAAAUUACCUCACAUAACAAUGAAUUGAAUGAAACUGAAGCCAAAUUCAAACUUUCCGAUCAAACGUUUGCUUUUAAUCAAUUUUUUGGAGUCACUUCAUCCUUGCGUCCUGUAGGAUAACCAGAUGUAGGUUUCCAACAGAGGAAAUGACGUCCAAUUUACCUAACCAUUUCUACCCAUGACCUUAAUUAUAUAUGCUGCAUCGCUGGAGGCUACUUCCCAAGGAUAAUAGGAACCGUCUGUCAGAGCCCCCAGGAGCAGUCACCUGUAAUCACCAAGAAAGAAAAAGAGACCAAAUUAUUAGCAGGUCAACACUCACAUCUUUUUCUCAUUGGGCACUCCUCAUUAAGUGAUCUCUAAAAGUCAAACACAGGUGAGGCAUCCAAUGAGCAAAACGUCCAUACGUUACUGAGCUCAUCUCAGAAGCAACUGAACACGCACAGAAAUGCUUAAUUACUGCAAAGUCAAAGAGUAUUUGGGGUGCUUAACAUAUUUGACACAUUAUUUUCAGUGCAGUGGUUAAAUCAUUUGCACCGAUUCCUAGUCUGGGCUAUUUCAGAAUAAUGACUUUGUUAGAUAUUUUUAUUCAUGUUAAAUAAUACAGA